rnacentral:rRNA from 1 species
UACGUAGGGUGCGAGCGUUGUCCGGAAUUAUUGGGCGUAAAGAGCUUGUAGGUGGUUUGUCGGGUCUGCUGUGAAAAUCCGAGGCUCAACCUCGGACUUGCAGUGGGUACGGGCAGACUAGAGUGUGGUAGGGGAGACUGGAAUUGCUGGUGUAGCGGUGGAAUGCGCAGAUAUCAGGAGGAACACCGAUGGCGAAGGCAGGUCUCUGGGCCAUUACUGACACUGAGAAGCGAAAGCAUGGGGAGCGAACAGG